rnacentral:misc_RNA from 1 species
GUUUGUGUUAGAUCAGGCAAGUAAAGCUCAUUUACAAUUCUGAGAUUAUUUUGAUGUUCAUUUUUUAUGGUAUCUUAUGCAUGAGUGAUCUGUUAUCAUAAUGAAAUUAACAUUUUCAUACAAAUUAUACUGAAUCAGUUUUAGGUUUUUUAGUCUUUUGUUUUCUAAUAUGAAAGUGGAUGGUUCAAUCAAUAGCUGUUAACAAAUUGAAGAAGUUGUACAAGCCUUUAAGC